UAACCAUGGUGGGGACAACGACUUAGUAAAUCCUUGAACCUCUCCCAAGACUCAUAGAAUGUUUCAGAAUCAAUCUGUCUGAACUGACCUAUAUUACUUCUUAAUUG